rnacentral:misc_RNA from 1 species
AAUCCAAGAAUUUCACCUCUGACAGUUAAAUACGAAUGCCCCCAACUAUCCCUAUUAACCAUUACCUCAGAUCUAGAAACCAACAAAAUAGAACCGAGGUCCUAUCUUAUUAUUCCAUGCUAAUGUAUUCAAGGCGUGUGCCUGCUUGAAACACUCUAAUUUCCUCAAAGUAAAAGUCCUGAAUACCGCACCACACAGCCAAGUGCAGUUACGUUCUCCAAGAAGAUGCCCAGGCCGAGCCAGAUACUCACCCAGAGGGCGGACCGGUCGUCCUCGGCAGAAAUCCAACUACGAGCUUUUUAACCGCAACAACUUUAAUAUACGCUAUUGGAGCUGGAAUUACCGCG